CCGAGAGUCGAGCCGAGCCGCUGCCCCCGCUGCCCGCCGGCGCCGGGUGGGGGUCCCGGCGGCUGGAUGGGCAGCGGCGGCGCGGGCCGCGGGCGGCGAUGGGCGAAGAGCAGAGCACGGUGAGCGGUGGAGGCAGGCCCCAGGAGGCAUGCGUCCCGGCCGGCGGCGCCGCGGGCCAGCCCGAGCCCCCGAAGCUAUGGAGGGACAGCUCCGGGGCUCCCGGGCCACGCGCCGCCUCCGCCGAGCCCAGCUGCGGCGGUUGCGGAAGCGACUCAGGCUGCGAGGACACAAGCGUCCCGGAGCCCGCGAGGAGCCGGGGGACCCCUGGCUGGAGGAAGAGUCAAGCACCCGGACAGCCUGCGGGGCUGGCACUUACCGGGCCUCUCAACCCCCAGACUUUGCAACUACAGCUGGACCAGGAGCUGGAGGAAGCUGGGGACCGACAAGAGGGAGGGGAUGAACAGCAGGAGGCGCCCCCCGGCGAGGGGCCGGAGCCCAGGAGCCCCGCCGGGGAACCCGACGGACUGGUCCUGGACGUGCUGGGUCAGCGGCGCCCGCCUGCCACCAAGAGACACGUCUUCUGCUCUGUGUACUGCGUGGAGAGCGACCUGCCCCGGGCCCCCACCGCGGAGCAGCUCUCGCCGACCGCCUCGCCCCCUCGGGUUCCGCCGGUGCUGAAUCCUCCCAGCACCCCCUCCUCCUUCCCCAGUCCCCGGCUGUCCCUCCCAGCGGACCCCCUCUCCCCCGACGGCGGCAGCAUCGAGCUGGAGUUCUACCUGGCGCCCGAGCCGUUUUCCAUGCCCAGCCUGUUGGGAGCUCCACCCUACUCUGGCCUGGGCGGGGUAGGGGAUCCCUAUGCGCCCCUCAUGGUGCUGAUGUGCCGGGUGUGCCUGGAGGACAAGCCCAUAAAGCCCCUGCCCUGCUGCAAGAAGGCCGUGUGCGAGGAGUGCCUCAAAGUCUACCUGAGCUCCCAGGUACAACUCGGCCAAGUAGAAAUCAAAUGUCCUAUCACAGAGUGUUUUGAAUUCCUGGAAGAAACAACUGUUGUCUAUAACUUAACACAUGAAGACUCCAUCAAAUAUAAGUACUUCUUGGAACUUGGCCGUAUUGAUUCCAGCACCAAGCCAUGUCCUCAGUGCAAGCACUUUACAACCUUCAAGAAAAAAGGACAUAUUCCCACUCCUUCCAGAUCAGAAAGCAAAUACAAAAUCCAGUGCCCCACUUGCCAAUUCGUCUGGUGUUUUAAGUGCCACUCUCCUUGGCAUGAAGGUGUUAACUGCAAGGAGUACAAAAAAGGAGACAAAUUGUUGCGUCACUGGGCCAGUGAAAUUGAGCAUGGGCAGAGGAAUGCCCAGAAGUGUCCCAAGUGCAAGAUCCACAUCCAGAGAACUGAAGGAUGUGACCAUAUGACCUGUUCACAAUGUAACACUAAUUUUUGUUAUCGAUGUGGGGAGAGAUACCGCCAGCUCCGUUUCUUUGGAGACCACACAUCAAACCUCAGUAUAUUUGGAUGCAAAUACCGCUACCUCCCAGAGAGACCUCAUUUAAGGAGAUUAGUGCGAGGGUCGGUCUGUGCUGGAAAAUUAUUCAUCGCACCUCUAAUCCUGGUUCUGGGAUUAGCGCUAGGGGCCAUAGCAGUUGUAAUUGGUUUAUUUGUAUUUCCUAUCUAUUGCCUUUGUAAAAAACAGAGAAAACGAUCACGGACAGUUUCAUCAAGAUCUUAAAAAGAGAAGAAAAUAUAAAGGAUUAUUUAUAUGUCAGUGCCAACUUUGAAGUGUCUAUACAUUAAUUACUGAAAAGAAAGGAAGAAAUUGGUGAGUAAAAGCCAUGGAAACUGGGCUUAUUCCCAUAUUCCAAUAGCACUAAUGUAUAAUCCCUUUAACUUCCCAUAUGGUGCUUUGUGUGAUGAGUAUAAUAACAUUUAUAUAUGUUAUUAGUGCCUUAUUUUUUUCACUUUAUUUCUUAUCUAAAGAGCCAUAUAUUUUUUGUGAGUGUUCAUUGGUCCCUCUAUUUAAAGUGCUAAGGAGACAGUAUGUCUUUAGGGAUGUGUAUAGGCUGCAUUUGUUACCUUAAUCUACUGUAUUAUCUCUAGAACAGCAGGUUAGUCAACGUAUUUUUUUAACUAACAGUUGAUUUUUAAGCUGAAGUAUAUAAAUGGAUAUCAAACACCAGAAAUUGAAGCCACUGGAAUUGAAAUGUAUUUGAAAACCAUUUUUAAAAUGCUGCAUAAGUUUAAAACAGAAGUUGGAAUGGCUGUCAGUCUUAUCAAUAGCUCCAAUUAAAUGGACAAAAUUUUUUCACAAAAAGCAUUAAAAAUAAAAGUAACUUUAUGGGACUUCAGGAAUUUGACCAGUUUCCUACAACUUAUCGUUGACAAUAUUUUAUCAGUAAUAUACGUCCAUACAGAUGCUGGAGAACCAUAGUGUUUCUAUUUACAUGUUGUUCAUUCACGGUAGGCUUUAUUAACAUCAAGCCAUUUUGUAUAAUAUAUUAAUUACUUUGUGCUUCUUUGUCUGUAGCUUUUGUCUUAGCCUCAUAUAAAAUGCUGGUUUUGUUGUGUUCUUUAUGUACCAUAGUAUGUAAUUUGACUUGUUUUGAUGAAUGUAUGAUGAAUAAUUAAAAUAAACCAUGUGCUUAGAAAAGACAAAGACACAGGUUGUAUAUGCAAAUACUCUUAUGUGUAAAUAUUUGACAAAAAAAGAAAAAGGAAAAGAAUCUUCCUGCCAACAUAUAGGUUCUGCUGGACAGGACCUAGAAAUUAACAGAUUUUUUUUAAGCAGUGAAAUUUAAAAAUCUAUUACCUCAAGGAUUUUCAGUGGAUAUGUGUCAGGGUACUGCUCCUUCUUAGUAAGUAUAAUACCACUUGCUGCUGGCAGUAAAAGCAACCCAAGUAUCAGAUCAUGCAAAUUUUAGGGACAAGUCUUUCAAAAAGUGGAUACCUUGUGAUAUUUUGGAGUCUCAUUUUGGACUUUCAGUAAUGUCCCAAUGGCCUUUUGUUGUGGUUGGGCUUUUUUUUUUUUUUAAGUUAUUUUUGGUUGGUUGUUUUAGAAUGGAACGGUAAUCUUAAUUAUGAGAUCAGAUCGCAUGGAAGAAUAUAUGGACACCUACUCUACUUCGCUGAAAACUAUAAUGGGAAUCAAACGAUUCUGAUUGUCACUAUAUGAGCAGCUGUAUGGAUUACUGUGGAGUGCUGUUUACUGCAUGAUGUGUGCAAAACAUCAUGCAACAUCAUCUAGCAAUGCCUAAUAAAAAAUUUUAAAAGAGAA